UUCUGUUUGCACUUUGGCUCUACUUGAAGCCAUUUUUUGUUCUUUGUCAUUCCAUUUCCUGUGACUAGGUUGUGUAUUUGUGUUGUCUUGAUUUUCUGAAUAUAUGUGGUCAAGAUGUUAUUAGUAAGCCGUGCUCGCUCUUGUCUGUCCAAGCUUAGUUUUUUUAAUGGGUGUAGUUGCCCAGCUGUGUGUCUGUUUUCAUUUGAAGGAAUUUUAUGGCCUAAUUUAUCAAUUUAUAGCACAUGCGAACCUGAGUUCCCCUAUAAUUAAGCAAGGUGUGUCUAGCUGAUCAAUUUGGAGUUGUUGGGGAAUUAGUACUAUCAUCUGAUCUACAUUUUAAGAGAAAAGGAACCUCUAUCCCUACCAUGUAAAUGAGGAUAUAAUUGUGUCCGUAAUAAGCAUGAUAAAGAUCAGAAAGGAGUAUUAUUAUGUAAUUCACUCUUAAUUUUUGUCACAUAAAAGAAUGUUUUUUCUUGCUUUGGCCUCUCUUUUUGCAUUCAGUCUUUGUUUGUAUGUGAAAUUUAUGUAUAAAUUUUGUGUACCUAAUUGCAUAUUUAAAUAUCACAAAGCUGUUUAGAUUGCUUGCUAGGCUCUGGCUUUAAAGAACUUGCUUUGUGCGUAUCCUAUUUUAACGUGCAUCAAUGUGGUAUUGUAACAUUCUAUAUGCAUAAACAAGGACCCAAAUUAAUUUAUGGAUUAUGGUUCUAUAAGCUCUUUAAAUGGUCUACUGGUUCAGUAUAGGACAUAAUUUUACAUGCAUACAGUAAGUUUAAUCAAUUUCAUUGUCUCAGCUUCCUAUGAUUUCUUGUGAAGCACCAACUUUUUCUUGUUCAGCUUUAGAAAGAAUGCCUAGAAGUUAUUAGCGUUUUUUUAGAUGCUCUUUUGAAUAACCUUAGAUAGUAUUUAUCAUAUGAUCUCUUGGAUGGCUAGUUUAUUCCACUUAAACUACCAAACAUUUAGCAUUUUUUUGUUCUGAUUUUCAUUAAUUCCUCAGUUACAAUAGAGUACAAGUUAGUGUUAGAGAUGCACAUAUAGAAUGGUUUUGCUAUUGUAGGAUCGCUGAUGUUCUGGAGAUGCUUUGAAAUGGCUUCUUCUGAAUUCUAUCCCUGCAAUCCUAAGUACUAUGCGCCUUUGUAUGUCAUUUACUUUCAUCACGGAGGGGCUAGCUUUAUGAGUCCUUUAAUGGAUACAAUGUUGUGUUCUGUUCCAGCAUACGGUCAAGCCAGGCUCAUAUGCAUGGAAAUAUCACAGGCCACCUCCACGCCGGCCAGUUCGACGUCCACGAAGAUCUAAUGUUAUGGAUAUGGCAUUUUUUGAUGUGUUCGAGCAGUUAAUUUCAGAAGAUGAACUAGAUAUUUUUGAUACUGAAGAUUUUGAUACUGAAGAUUUAAGUCCUAUGGAUAUGGCCUUGUUGCUAAUGGAGCUGGAGUUGGAAUCAAUUGAUGUCUCAAGUGAUGAGGAGAAUUGUUGAUCUUAAGAUAUUAGAUUUAGCCAUGUCAUUUUGACAUCUUGUGGAUUUUGAAAUUGUAUCAGUGACGGGCGAUGGCACCAUCCACUUUUUGCUACUGGGGAAAAAUGAAACUUGCAGUUUGUUAUGUUUGUGGUUGCAGUUUGUGUUAUGUCAUAAUGUUAUUUAUGAUAUUUAAAAUCUGGGUAUAUCUACCUGGUUUUUUUUCUUUUUUUUUUUUUAAAUAAAUUUUAAUGAUGAAAUGGCGAUUGGUUUGCAAUGUUAACCGGCCUGAAAAUGCUUCUGGAUCCCAGGUCUACUCUAAUGUAAUGGGAAUUGAUGUUUCAGUCCAAUGUUAAGUAGAGUUUGUUAGAGCUUGUCGUUUCUUAUUACAAGUUGCUUAGAGGUGCAUAGGUAGUUUGUGAGAAGUGUUUCCACAAACAAGUGGCUAUAUGACAGAUGGUACAUACCUAUAACUUACAGGCUCGGAAUGAAACUUAACAUUACAGUGCCAAUAUCUAAGUUUUGAAGAUUUCUUGCUGUAUUAAUGUUGUUCCUAUGCUUGGUUCCUUUGUUUUUGGACAAUAUUCUAGCAAUAAGAAGCUUACUCUGUUAGGUUUAUUUCAUGGAUCUUCUGUGUUUGCAGCAUGCGUAUCGCGAUGGUCGCACGGAAGAAGUUGUUCUGCGCCAUCUUGGAUCUGAGGAUGGAAACACUGUGAUAGCAAAAGAUAUCAGGUUGUCAGAUUUUCUUGCUGAUAUGCGAAUAAGGUGAAAGUACUAUCUAUGUCGUUCCAGUUAUGUGUAAUAAUAUGAAGAUAUAUCUGCAACUAUGAUAUGAAAAGUUCUCUUCAAUUGCCACUCUUCGGCAUUAUAAGGAUUGGCUGCAGAGAGUGGAGACUCAAAGAGAGUGGGAAGCCGAGGCAUGUCAGGUCAUACAAAAGAAAUUGUGCCUUUUACAUUUAAAUGAAGUAGAAUCAUAAAAAGAGAACGCCCAUGGAUGAGUGUGAGUAUUUUCUCAAGGUUUUUGCUUAUAGUUCUAUACCUAGAUGACAAAUAACAAAAUGUUCUUCAAAAUAAUGGGUGUGUCAAUGGCUGCCUAGUUUCCUCUUUUCUCUCUAUAAGAUACCAAAACUGGUGUAUAGUUUUUGCGGAGUGUUGAGGUUUUUGUGUAUUGUGUUAUAAGCUCUGAUGACAGGUAAAAAAAAUAUAAACAUUAUUCUUGCUCGUGAAGAGCUCUUAUUGAUAAGAGGUAAUUGAGAUUCAAGCAAUAGAAGAGAACUAUGUGAACAUUCAUUCCUUUUUUCAAUAAAAAAAAAUCUAUAGUAGUUAUUCUGCUGUUCUGCAGGCUAUAGAUUAUAUA